rnacentral:tRNA from 1 species
GCAGUGGUGGUUCAGUGGUAGAGUUUUUACCUCCCACGUGGGAGACCUGGGUUCAAUUCCCAGCCAGUGCA